rnacentral:rRNA from 1 species
AUUGAACGCUGGCGGCAUGCUUUACACAUGCAAGUCGAACGGCAGCACGGACUUCGGUCUGGUGGCGAGUGGCGAACGGGUGAGUAAUACAUCGGAACGUACCCAGUAAUGGGGGAUAACUAUCCGAAAGGAUAGCUAAUACCGCAUACGCCCUACGGGGGAAAGAGGGGGAUCGCAAGACCUCUUGUUAUUGGAGCGGCCGAUGGCUGAUUAGCUAGUUGGUGGGGUAAAGGCCUACCAAGGCAACGAUCAGUAGCGGGUCUUAGAGGACGAUCCGCAACAAUGGAACUGAGACACGGUCCAGACUCCUACGGGAGGCAGCAGUGGGGAAUCUUGGACAAUGAGCGCAAGCCUGAUCCAGCAAUGCCGCGUGCGUGAAGAAGGCCUUCGGGUUGUAAAGCGCUUUUGUCAGGGAGCAAAUCCUUGUGGCUAAUACCCACCGGGGAUGAGAGUACCUGAAGAAUAAGGACCGGCUAACUACGUGCCAGCCGCCGCCGUAACAC